rnacentral:rRNA from 1 species
GUACACUCCUGCGGGAGGCAGCAGUGGGGAAUAUUGGACAAUGGGCGCAAGCCUGAUCCAGCCAUGCCGCGUGAGUGAUGAAGGCCCUAGGGUUGUAAAGCUCUUUCACCGGUGAAGAUAAUGACGGUAACCGGAGAAGAAGCCCCGGCUAACUUCGUGCCAGCAGCCGCGGUCAUACGAAGGGGGCUAGCGUUGUUCGGAUUUACUGGGCGUAAAGCGCACGUAGGCGGACUAUUAAGUCAGGGGUGAAAUCCCGGGGCUCGACCCCGGAACUGCCUUUGAUACUGGUAGUCUUGAGUUCGAGAGAGGUGAGUGGAAUUCCGAGUGUAGAGGUGAAAUUCGUAGAUAUUCGGAGGAACACCAGUGGCGAAGGCGGCUCACUGGCUCGAUACUGACGCUGAGGUGCGAAAGCGUGGGGAGCAAACAGGAUUAGAAACCCUUGUAGUCCCAUAAU